CAAGUCGAGCGAGAAAAGGGGGGCAACUCCCUGAGUACAGCGGCGCACGGGUGAGUAACACGUGGGUAAUCUGCCCUGGAGUGGGGAAUAACACCGGGAAACCGGUGCUAAUACCGCAUACGAUCACGAUGUCUGCGGACGUUGUGAUGAAAGGAGCAAUUCGCUCCAGGAGGAGCCCGCGGCUGAUUAGCUAGUUGGUGAGGUAACGGCUCACCAAGGCUACGAUCAGUAUCCGGUCUGAGAGGACGGCCGGACACACUGGAACUGAGACACGGUCCAGACUCCUACGGGAGGCAGCAGUGGGGAAUUUUUGGCAAUGGGGGCAACCCUGACCAAGCAACGCCGCGUGGGUGAUGAAGUCUCUUGGGACGUAAAACCCUUUCGACGGGGAAGAAACCGCAAGGUUGACGGUACCCGUAGAAGAAGCCCCGGCUAACUCCGUGCCAGCAGCCGCGGUAAUACGGGGGGGGCAAGCGUUGUUCGGAAUUACUGGGCGUAAAGGGUGCGUAGGCGGUUCUCUAAGUCGGAUGUGAAAACUCUGGGCUCAACCCAGAGCCUGCAUCCGAAACUGGAGGGCUAGAGUUCUGGAGGGGGUAGCGGAAUUCCUGGUGUAGCGGUGAAAUGCGUAGA
rnacentral:rRNA from 1 species